rnacentral:misc_RNA from 1 species
GCAAACUUGGUCAUUUAGAGGAAGUAAAAGUCGUAACAAGGUUUCCGUAGGUGAACCUGCGGAAGGAUCAUUAGUGAAUUGAAUUCUGUCAGGUUGUUGCUGGCUUCUAGGGGCAAGUGCACACCUGACUCAAUUUAUCAACCACCUGUGCACUCUUUGUAGACUUGGAAUAUCAAUCGGGGGCUCUCGGGCUUUCGUUUCAUUUCCAAGUCUAUGUAUUUUAUAUACGCUUGAUUGUAUGGUCGAUGUAACUUUGGGAUAAUAAUAAUACAACUUUCAACAACGGAUCUCUUGGCUCUCGCAUCGAUGAAGAACGCAGC